GACGAACGCUGGCGGCGUGCUUAACACAUGCAAGUCGAACGGAAAGGCCUGCUUUCCCUUGUGGAUUGCGGGUACUCGAGUGGCGAACGGUUGAGUAACACGUGAGUGAUCUGCCCCCAACUUGGGUAUAAGCCUGGGAAACUGGGUCUAAUUCCCGAUAGGACUGCAGGGUGGUGCCUGUGGUGGAAAACGAUUUUCUAGUGGUUGGGGAUGAGCUCGCGGCCUAUCAGCUUGUUGGUGGGGUAAUGGCCUACCAAGGCGGCGACGGGUAGCCGGCCUGAGAGGGUGGACGGCCACAUUGGGACUGAGAUACGGCCCAGACUCCUACGGGAGGCAGCAGUGGGGAAUAUUGCACAAUGGGCGGAAGCCUGAUGCAGCGACGCCGCGUGGGGGAUGACGGCCUUCGGGUUGUAAACUCCUUUCGACCGCGAGGAAGCCACCUGGUUGGAAGGGUGGUGACGGUAGUGGUAGAAGAAGCACCGGCUAACUACGUG
rnacentral:rRNA from 1 species